ACGUCACAUGUCACAACAUUUAUAUGCUAACCCAGCAAAAUGUGAAGAUUUUAAUCCGCAAAAAUCCGCAAAUAAUAUGUGUUUAAUCGUAGUUCCUCCCGUGUGUGCCUUUACUUGGUGUAUCUUACCUUGCUUACUUCUGCCUCUCUGCUGUGCUGCUGCCAAAAAGACUUUGAAAGACUGUGAAAACAGAAAGUAUAACAACAAUUACUCUUCAGUUACAGUGGAAGAAGUUUUGUAUGCUUAAGAUAAAAAUAAUUCAGUAGUUUGGGGGGAAGAAUUGUUUGAAGAUACAUUGGAAGAGCUAAAAAUCGAAGGACGUGAAUAAGAUAAAGAAAGCAUUGUGUAGUCCAUGAGCUAAUUUAUAACACUUUUGAUAAAGAAAAAUCUGUAGAAGAGAAUCAAACAGCGAUAUGAAAUCAGAAAGAGCUGUAUGCUAGAUCGAGUCAGGAGCAAGAUAUGAAACGAAGAGUAUCAGAAAAUGUGCUGGUUAACCACCGUAUGUUUCCCCGUGUUAAUAAUACCGUGUGUGGCGUUAUUUCCGUUCACGUGUCCUUGUCUGGUCCGGUGCUGUGAGACAGAGGAGGAAAAUGAGAAGAAGAUCAAAAUCGAAAAGGAUUUGGAUGAGCUAAAGUUUAAUUAUAUGCUGAAUUAAAAUUGUGAUUGUUUU